GCCGUUGGGGGACUUGAUCCCUUAGUGGCGAAGCUAACGCGAUAAGUAGACCGCCUGGGGAGUACGGUCGCAAGAUUAAAACUCAAAUGAAUUGACGGGGGCCCGCACAAGCGGUGGAGCAUGUGGUUUAAUUCGACGCAACGCGAAAAACCUUACCUGGUCUUGACAUCCUGCGAACUUUCUAGAGAUAGAUUGGUGCCUUCGGGAACGCAGUGACAGGUGCUGCAUGGCCGUCGUCAGCUCGUGUCGUGAGAUGUUGGGUUAAGUCCCGUAACGAGCGCAACCCUUGUCCUUAUUUGCCAGCACGUAAUGGUGGGAACUCUAAGGAGACUGCCGGUGACAAACCGGAGGAAGGUGGGGACGACGUCAAGUCAUCAUGGCCCUUAUGACCAGGGCUACACACGUGCUACAAUGGAGCGUACAGAGGGUUGCUAAGCCGCGAGGUGGAGCCAAUCCCAGAAAACGUUUCGUAGUCCGGAUCGAAGUCUGCAACUCGACUUCGUGAAGUCGGAAUCGCUAGUAAUCGCGAAUCAGCAUGUCGCGGUGAAUACGUUCCCGGGCCUUGUACACACCGCCCGUCACACCAUGGGAGUGGGUUGCAAAAGAAGUGGCUAGUCUAACCUUCGGGAGGACGGUCACCACUUUGUGAUUCAUGACUGGGGUG
rnacentral:rRNA from 1 species